rnacentral:rRNA from 1 species
UAUACUCUUACGGGAGGCAGCAGUGGGGAAUUUUCCGCAAUGGGCGAAAGCCUGACGGAGCAAUGCCGCGUGGAGGUGGAAGGCCUACGGGUCGUCAACUUCUUUUCUCGGAGAAGAAACAAUGACGGAAUCUGAGGAAUAAGCAUCGGCUAACUCUGUG